rnacentral:rRNA from 2 species
UUAAGCGACUAAGCGUACACGGUGGAUGCCCUGGCAGUCAGAGGCGAUGAAGGACGUGCUAAUCUGCGAUAAGCGUCGGUAAGGUGAUAUGAACCGUUAUAACCGGCGAUUUCCGAAUGGGGAAACCCAGUGUGAUUCGUCACACUAUCAUUAACUGAAUCCAUAGGUUAAUGAGGCGAACCGGGGGAACUGAAACAUCUAAGUACCCCGAGGAAAAGAAAUCAACCGAGAUUCCCCCAGUAGCGGCGAGCGAACGGGGAGCAGCCCAGAGCCUGAAUCAGUGUGUGUGUUAGUGGAAGCGUCUGGAAAGGCGCGCGAUACAGGGUGACAGCCCCGUACACAAAAAUGCACAUACUGUGAGCUCGAUGAGUAGGGCGGGACACGUGGUAUCCUGUCUGAAUAUGGGGGGACCAUCCUCCAAGGCUAAAUACUCCUGACUGACCGAUAGUGAACCAGUACCGUGAGGGAAAGGCGAAAAGAACCCCGGCGAGGGGAGUGAAAAAGAACCUGAAACCGUGUACGUACAAGCAGUGGGAGCACAGAGCAAUCUGUGUGACUGCGUACCUUUUGUAUAAUGGGUCAGCGACUUAUAUUCUGUAGCAAGGUUAACCGAAUAGGGGAGCCGAAGGGAAACCGAGUCUUAACUGGGCGUUAAGUUGCAGGGUAUAGACCCGAAACCCGGUGAUCUAGCCAUGGGCAGGUUGAAGGUUGAGUAACACUAACUGGAGGACCGAACCGACUAAUGUUGAAAAAUUAGCGGAUGACUUGUGGCUGGGGGUGAAAGGCCAAUCAAACCGGGAGAUAGCUGGUUCUCCCCGAAAGCUAUUUAGGUAGCGCCUCGUGAAUUCAUCUCCGGGGGUAGAGCACUGUUUCGGCAAGGGGGUCAUCCCGACUUACCAACCCGAUGCAAACUGCGAAUACCGGAGAAUGUUAUCACGGGAGACACACGGCGGGUGCUAACGUCCGUCGUGAAGAGGGAAACAACCCAGACCGCCAGCUAAGGUCCCAAAGUCAUGGUUAAGUGGGAAACGAUGUGGGAAGGCCCAGACAGCCAGGAUGUUGGCUUAGAAGCAGCCAUCAUUUAAAGAAAGCGUAAUAGCUCACUGGUCGAGUCGGCCUGCGCGGAAGAUGUAACGGGGCUAAACCAUGCACCGAAGCUGCGGCAGCGACGCUUAUGCGUUGUUGGGUAGGGGAGCGUUCUGUAAGCCUGUGAAGGUGUACUGUGAGGUAUGCUGGAGGUAUCAGAAGUGCGAAUGCUGACAUAAGUAACGAUAAAGCGGGUGAAAAGCCCGCUCGCCGGAAGACCAAGGGUUCCUGUCCAACGUUAAUCGGGGCAGGGUGAGUCGACCCCUAAGGCGAGGCCGAAAGGCGUAGUCGAUGGGAAACAGGUUAAUAUUCCUGUACUUGGUGUUACUGCGAAGGGGGGACGGAGAAGGCUAUGUUGGCCGGGCGACGGUUGUCCCGGUUUAAGCGUGUAGGCUGGUUUUCCAGGCAAAUCCGGAAAAUCAAGGCUGAGGCGUGAUGACGAGGCACUACGGUGCUGAAGCAACAAAUGCCCUGCUUCCAGGAAAAGCCUCUAAGCAUCAGGUAACAUCAAAUCGUACCCCAAACCGACACAGGUGGUCAGGUAGAGAAUACCAAGGCGCUUGAGAGAACUCGGGUGAAGGAACUAGGCAAAAUGGUGCCGUAACUUCGGGAGAAGGCACGCUGAUAUGUAGGUGAAGUCCCUCGCGGAUGGAGCUGAAAUCAGUCGAAGAUACCAGCUGGCUGCAACUGUUUAUUAAAAACACAGCACUGUGCAAACACGAAAGUGGACGUAUACGGUGUGACGCCUGCCCGGUGCCGGAAGGUUAAUUGAUGGGGUUAGCGGUAACGCGAAGCUCUUGAUCGAAGCCCCGGUAAACGGCGGCCGUAACUAUAACGGUCCUAAGGUAGCGAAAUUCCUUGUCGGGUAAGUUCCGACCUGCACGAAUGGCGUAAUGAUGGCCAGGCUGUCUCCACCCGAGACUCAGUGAAAUUGAACUCGCUGUGAAGAUGCAGUGUACCCGCGGCAAGACGGAAAGACCCCGUGAACCUUUACUAUAGCUUGACACUGAACAUUGAGCCUUGAUGUGUAGGAUAGGUGGGAGGCUU